UGUAGAUUGACAUAGGCCAUGGUUGAUCAAGGUUGGAGUGUUGCCAGGAAUCUGUCAUGAAGAGGAAAAGAUUUUUGAAGUCACAGGAAUGGUCGGGUGAAGUUUGUCCUAAGUGUCAGUCUGCGUUGAGUG